UUAAGUUAUUAAGGGCGCACGGUGGAUGCCUUGGCACUAGAAGCCGAUGAAGGACGUUACUAACGACGAUAUGCUUUGGGGAGCUGUAAGUAAGCUUUGAUCCAGAGAUUUCCGAAUGGGGAAACCCAGCAUGAGUUAUGUCAUGUUAUCGAUAUGUGAAUACAUAGCAUAUCAGAAGGCACACCCGGAGAACUGAAACANUGCCCCUUAUGAUUUGGGCUACACACGUGCUACAAUGGACAAUACAAAGGGCAGCGAAACCGCGAGGUCAAGCAAAUCCCAUAAAGUUGUUCUCAGUUCGGAUUGUAGUCUGCAACUCGACUACAUGAAGCUGGAAUCGCUAGUAAUCGUAGAUCAGCAUGCUACGGUGAAUACGUUCCCGGGUCUUGUACACACCGCCCGUCACACCACGAGAGUUUGUAACACCCGAAGCCGGUGGAGUAACCUUUUAGGAGCUAGCCGUCGAAGGUGGGACAAAUGAUUGGGGUGAAGUCGUAACAAGGUAGCCGUAUCGGAAGGUGCGGCUGGAUCACCUCCUUUCUAAGGAUAUAUUCGGAACAUCUUCUUCAGAAGAUGCGGAAUAACGUGACAUAUUGUAUUCAGUUUUGAAUGUUUAUUUAACAUUCAAAUAUUUUUUGGUUAAAGCGAUAUUGCUUAUGCGAGCGCUUGACAAUCUAUUCUUUUUAAAGAAAGCGGUUGUCAGACAAUGCAUUAAGAAAAAUUAAAGCGGAGUUUACUUUUGUAAAUGAGCAUUUGAUUUUUUGAAAAUAAAGCAGUAUGCGAGCGCUUGACUAAAAAGAAAUUGUACAUUGAAAACUAGAUAAGUAAGUAAAAUAUAGAUUUUACCAAGCAAAACCGAGUGAAUAAAGAGUUUUAAAUAAGCUUGAAUUCAUAAGAAAUAAUCGCUAGUGUUCGAAAGAACACUCACAAGAUUAAUAACGCGUUUAAAUCUUUUUAUAAAAGAACGUAACUUCAUGUUAACGUUUGACUUAUAAAAAUGGUGGAAACAUAGAUUAAGUUAUUAAGGGCGCACGGUGGAUGCCUUGGCACUAGAAGCCGAUGAAGGACGUUACUAACGACGAUAUGCUUUGGGGAGCUGUAAGUAAGCUUUGAUCCAGAGAUUUCCGAAUGGGGAAACCCAGCAUGAGUUAUGUCAUGUUAUCGAUAUGUGAAUACAUAGCAUAUCAGAAGGCACACCCGGAGAACUGAAACAUCUUAGUACCCGGAGGAAGAGAAAGAAAAUUCGAUUCCCUUAGUAGCGGCGAGCGAAACGGGAAGAGCCCAAACCAACAAGCUUGCUUGUUGGGGUUGUAGGACACUCUAUACGGAGUUACAAAGGACGACAUUAGACGAAUCAUCUGGAAAGAUGAAUCAAAGAAGGUAAUAAUCCUGUAGUCGAAAAUGUUGUCUCUCUUGAGUGGAUCCUGAGUACGACGGAGCACGUGAAAUUCCGUCGGAAUCUGGGAGGACCAUCUCCUAAGGCUAAAUACUCUCUAGUGACCGAUAGUGAACCAGUACCGUGAGGGAAAGGUGAAAAGCACCCCGGAAGGGGAGUGAAAUAGAACCUGAAACCGUGUGCUUACAAGUAGUCAGAGCCCGUUAAUGGGUGAUGGCGUGCCUUUUGUAGAAUGAACCGGCGAGUUACGAUUUGAUGCAAGGUUAAGCAGUAAAUGUGGAGCCGUAGCGAAAGCGAGUCUGAAUAGGGCGUUUAGUAUUUGGUCGUAGACCCGAAACCAGGUGAUCUACCCUUGGUCAGGUUGAAGUUCAGGUAACACUGAAUGGAGGACCGAACCGACUUACGUUGAAAAGUGAGCGGAUGAACUGAGGGUAGCGGAGAAAUUCCAAUCGAACCUGGAGAUAGCUGGUUCUCUCCGAAAUAGCUUUAGGGCUAGCCUCAAGUGAUGAUUAUUGGAGGUAGAGCACUGUUUGGACGAGGGGCCCCUCUCGGGUUACCGAAUUCAGACAAACUCCGAAUGCCAAUUAAUUUAACUUGGGAGUCAGAACAUGGGUGAUAAGGUCCGUGUUCGAAAGGGAAACAGCCCAGACCACCAGCUAAGGUCCCAAAAUAUAUGUUAAGUGGAAAAGGAUGUGGCGUUGCCCAGACAACUAGGAUGUUGGCUUAGAAGCAGCCAUCAUUUAAAGAGUGCGUAAUAGCUCACUAGUCGAGUGACACUGCGCCGAAAAUGUACCGGGGCUAAACAUAUUACCGAAGCUGUGGAUUGUCCUUUGGACAAUGGUAGGAGAGCGUUCUAAGGGCGUUGAAGCAUGAUCGUAAGGACAUGUGGAGCGCUUAGAAGUGAGAAUGCCGGUGUGAGUAGCGAAAGACGGGUGAGAAUCCCGUCCACCGAUUGACUAAGGUUUCCAGAGGAAGGCUCGUCCGCUCUGGGUUAGUCGGGUCCUAAGCUGAGGCCGACAGGCGUAGGCGAUGGAUAACAGGUUGAUAUUCCUGUACCACCUAUAAUCGUUUUAAUCGAUGGGGGGACGCAGUAGGAUAGGCGAAGCGUGCGAUUGGAUUGCACGUCUAAGCAGUAAGGCUGAGUAUUAGGCAAAUCCGGUACUCGUUAAGGCUGAGCUGUGAUGGGGAGAAGACAUUGUGUCUUCGAGUCGUUGAUUUCACACUGCCGAGAAAAGCCUCUAGAUAGAAAAUAGGUGCCCGUACCGCAAACCGACACAGGUAGUCAAGAUGAGAAUUCUAAGGUGAGCGAGCGAACUCUCGUUAAGGAACUCGGCAAAAUGACCCCGUAACUUCGGGAGAAGGGGUGCUCUUUAGGGUUAACGCCCAGAAGAGCCGCAGUGAAUAGGCCCAAGCGACUGUUUAUCAAAAACACAGGUCUCUGCUAAACCGUAAGGUGAUGUAUAGGGGCUGACGCCUGCCCGGUGCUGGAAGGUUAAGAGGAGUGGUUAGCUUCUGCGAAGCUACGAAUCGAAGCCCCAGUAAACGGCGGCCGUAACUAUAACGGUCCUAAGGUAGCGAAAUUCCUUGUCGGGUAAGUUCCGACCCGCACGAAAGGCGUAACGAUUUGGGCACUGUCUCAACGAGAGACUCGGUGAAAUCAUAGUACCUGUGAAGAUGCAGGUUACCCGCGACAGGACGGAAAGACCCCGUGGAGCUUUACUGUAGCCUGAUAUUGAAAUUCGGCACAGCUUGUACAGGAUAGGUAGGAGCCUUUGAAACGUGAGCGCUAGCUUACGUGGAGGCGCUGGUGGGAUACUACCCUAGCUGUGUUGGCUUUCUAACCCGCACCACUUAUCGUGGUGGGAGACAGUGUCAGGCGGGCAGUUUGACUGGGGCGGUCGCCUCCUAAAAGGUAACGGAGGCGCUCAAAGGUUCCCUCAGAAUGGUUGGAAAUCAUUCAUAGAGUGUAAAGGCAUAAGGGAGCUUGACUGCGAGACCUACAAGUCGAGCAGGGUCGAAAGACGGACUUAGUGAUCCGGUGGUUCCGCAUGGAAGGGCCAUCGCUCAACGGAUAAAAGCUACCCCGGGGAUAACAGGCUUAUCUCCCCCAAGAGUUCACAUCGACGGGGAGGUUUGGCACCUCGAUGUCGGCUCAUCGCAUCCUGGGGCUGUAGUCGGUCCCAAGGGUUGGGCUGUUCGCCCAUUAAAGCGGUACGCGAGCUGGGUUCAGAACGUCGUGAGACAGUUCGGUCCCUAUCCGUCGUGGGCGUAGGAAAUUUGAGAGGAGCUGUCCUUAGUACGAGAGGACCGGGAUGGACAUACCUCUGGUGUACCAGUUGUCGUGCCAACGGCAUAGCUGGGUAGCUAUGUGUGGACGGGAUAAGUGCUGAAAGCAUCUAAGCAUGAAGCCCCCCUCAAGAUGAGAUUUCCCAACUUCGGUUAUAAGAUCCCUCAAAGAUGAUGAGGUUAAUAGGUUCGAGGUGGAAGCAUGGUGACAUGUGGAGCUGACGAAUACUAAUCGAUCGAAGACUUAAUCAA
rnacentral:rRNA from 1 species